rnacentral:rRNA from 1 species
UACGAAGGGGGCUAGCGUUGUUCGGAUUUACUGGGCGUAAAGCGCACGUAGGCGGAUUGUUAAGUCAGGGGUGAAAUCCCGGAGCUCAACUCCGGAACUGCCUUUGAUACUGGCAAUCUAGAGUUCGGAAGAGGGUCGUGGAAUUCCCAGUGUAGAGGUGAAAUUCGUAGAUAUUGGGAAGAACACCGGUGGCGAAGGCGGCGACCUGGUCCGAUACUGACGCUGAGGCGCGAAAGCGUGGGGAGCAAACAGG